ACAUACGACCAUAGACUCAAGAGAAUUGGGCAUUCCGUCCGCUCUGCCAUACACAAGCUUGAGAUCGGUGGAUUAGUAGUUGGGUGGGUGACCACCAGCGAAUACCCACUGUUGUAUGUU
rnacentral:rRNA from 1 species